rnacentral:rRNA from 1 species
AUUGAACGCUGGCGGCAUGCUUUACACAUGCCAGUCGAACGGUAACAGGCCUUCUGGUGCUGACGAGUGGCGCACGGGUGCGUAAUGCAUCGGAACGUACCCAGAGGUGGGGGUUAACGCAGCGAAAGCUGUGCUAAUACCGCAUGUGAUCUGAGGAUGAAAGCGGGGGACCGCGCAGCAAUGUUUGGCCUCGCGCCUUUGUAGCGGCCGAUGUCGGAUUAGCUAGUUGGUUGGGUAAAGGCCUACCAAGGCGACGAUCCGUAGCUGGUCUGAGAGGACGACCGGCAACACUGGGAGUGAGACACGGACAAGACUCCUACGGGAGGCAGCAGUGGGGAAUUUUGGACAAUGGGCGCAAGCCUGAUCCAGCAAUGCCGCGUGCGGGAAGAAGGCCUUCGGGUUGUAAACCGCUUUUGGCAGGAACGAAACGGUGUCCGCUAAUACCGGGCGCUAAUGACGGUACCUGCAGAAUAAGCACCGGCUAACUACGUG